CUAAAAUAGAAGGAGCGAGAUUUAAGCGGUCAUUCCAUACACAAUCAGUCUAUUCACAUUCAAUUGCAACCUCUCAACUCUCUGAAAUGCAUCCCUAUAUUCUUGUAGAUACAACAUCCUUCCUAUAGGAGCCAUUAGAUUUAGAAAUAUGGGGUGUAGAUUUCAUCAACUUGAGUUGCAUUGGACAACAUUUUUGUUGCAUAGGAGGGUAAACUUGUCAGCUCCUAAUAAGAACGCCUACUCUGAAAUAGAAGGAGCGAGAUUUAAGCGGCCUUCCAUACACGAUCAGUCUACUCACAUUCAAUUGCAACCUCUCAACUCUCUCCCCAAAUUAUUCAACUCCCUCAGAAAACACUCACAUAUCACCAAUCAUUCCAAAACCCUAGCUUCAUCUCGCCGCUUUCCACAAAACCAGCGAAAGAAGAUCAUGAAAUUGAGAAUUGAAGUUGCAUCUCUUCCUAGUAGCGACAAUAGAUUUAUUACGACGGCUACUUUCAUUGAUUCGAACCCCCUAGCGGCUUACACCGGAGAAACUUAUGGAAAAUGUUAAAGCUACAGAAAGGAAAGAAUCCAGAUGAUGAGGAAACUGAUAGGUUCAGCAUAUUGGGAAGGAAAUAAAAUCACACCAUUUCAAGAUCUCCUGAACAUUUUAGUCGUUUGAUUGCUAGACAUAAUUCGAAGCAGAAGAAUGCAGUCCAGGAGAUGAGAUUCGACUACAAACAAGGUCGACAUUGGAGUGUACCUAAUGAGGCACAUGGAGAUAUUCAUGGGACAAAAAACAAGUGAAUGGAAGUGCGGACUUACUCCUAGAAAUGCGUUGUCAUUGCAAUACUUGAGAGCCAAAAUGAGAAGAGAGCGCUCUUUGUGAAUCAAACGCAGUGAUGUAUGAAAUUCUGCAUCUUACCCAACAGUGCAAUGACGAAGGGAAGAAGAAGGGGUCAAUUAAUGUUGAGAAAAUGAUAGCGACGUACAUUAUUACGCACAAGAGUUUAUGAUUUUCAAGAGCUUGUUGUUAUCCGUUGGAUACCAUGCCGCGAAGCAACUUUUUACCUUAUAAUGCAAUUGAUACUUGUUGAACAUGCAAUUAGGUUUGUGUUAUAAGUUUAUGAUGGAAACAAUGGUUUAUGACUAAAUAGUUUUUUGGACUGGUAGUUGAUCCUUAAUUUUGACUUGGAGAUGCCCUAUUGUAGUUGAAUUGUGAAUCAAUUUUUUAACAGCAAUGCGAAUAUCUGUUAAUGGUGAUGCAA